UAAAAAAAAAAAAAGAAUGCCAAAAAUAAUAUAUUCAUAAGCGUUAUGAUUAUUUUAUGUCAUAUGCUGUUUGUUUCAUUCUGCCCCGACAGUGGGUCAUGUGCCAUGCAGGCAGCAGCCUUGGCUACAUCUGUGUCUAUUGCCAUUGUGGGAGGAACUAUCACAGGUUUCAUUUUGUGUCUGCCAUUCUGGGGACAGCCACCUGAUCAAAACUGUUUUGAUGAUUCCAUUACUGGGAGAUACCAGAAGAGGAGCGAGAGAAUGAGGAGGGUCUGGCUCAUGGAGAACAUUCCAA